UGAAGCUGGAUCCCAAGCGAAGCUGGCGGCCCGGGGUCAACACCAGGCUGCAGCGAGCUGGGUUCGUUCCGCUUCGAAAUGAAAGCACUGACUUUGGAGAAACAGCAGCUGCACCGUGAUGAGGAGCAACGGAGCCCAGGGCACGGCCAAACUCUUCAGGAAUAGCAAUCCAUCAACCCAACCAGAAAUAUGGGAUGGGGACCGUGGAGAGGAGGGGGCACCUCUCCGACUUCCCAUGUCUCCAUGUCACCACAUCCCCACCUCUCCAUCUCCGCACCUCUCCCCGUCUCCAUCUCCACCUGUUCCCCUCUCUGCCUCCAUCCCUCCACCUCUCCAUCUGUCCUUCCGCAUCCCCGUGUCUCCCUCUUUCCACGUCCACCUCUCCACCCCUUCGUGUCUCUCUGCCUCCAUCCUUCCCCAUAUCCACAUCUCCACAUCUCAUCUCCGCCUCUCCCCAUCUCCAUCGCAACCUCUCCAUCUCUGUCCAUCCAUCUCUCCAUCUCAACCUCUCCAUCUCUGUCCAUCCAUCUCUCCAUCUCUGUCCAUCCAUCUUUCCAUCUCAAACUUCUCCAUCUCUGCCCGUCCAUCUCUCCAUCUCUGUCCGUCCAUCUCCCCACAUCUCCAUCUCUGUCCUCCUUUACCCAUCCCUCCAUCACUGCCCCCAUCCACCUCUCCAUUUCUUCACUUCUCCACCUCUCACAUCUGUCUCCAUCUCUCCAUGGAUCCAUGUCCCUGUACCUCCUUGUCUCCACAUCUCACCUCCACGUCUCCAUCUCCCCACAUCUCCAGCUUUCCACCCCUCCAUCUCUGUCCAUCUGUCUCCACUCCUCUCUCUCUCCAUGUCUCCAUCUCUCUCCGCCUCUCUAUCUUUCCAUCCUUCCAUCUCCGACCAUCCAUCUCUCCAUCUCUCCACCCCUCCAUCUCUCUCCAUCUCUCCAUCCCUCCACCUCCCCAGCUCUCCAUCCAUCUCCCCAUGUCCCCAUCUCUCAUCUUUCCACCUCUGCGCCUCCGUUCACCCAUGUCUCCACCUCUCUCCAUUUCUCCAACAUCUCCACCUCUCCAUGCCUCCAUGUCCCCAUCUCUCCCUACCUCUCCCUCUCUCUCUCCACCUCUCCACCUCUCCAUCCCUGUCCAUCCACGUCUCUGCCUCUCUCUCUCUCCAUUUCUUUCCAUGUCCUCACCUCUCUCCAUUUCUUUCCAUCUCUCCAUCCCUCUCCAUCCCUCUCCAUCCCUCUCCAUCCCUCUCCAUCCCUCUCCACCUCUUACCACCUCUCCAUCCCUUUCCACCUCUUACCACCUCUCCAUCCCUUUCCAUCUCUCCCCAUCUCUCCCCAUGUCCCCGUAUCGCCAUCCCCACC
rnacentral:lncRNA from 1 species